rnacentral:rRNA from 1 species
AGCAGCCGCGGUAAUUCCAGCUCCAAUAGCGUAUAUUAAAGUUGUUGCAGUUAAAAAGCUCGUAGUUGAAUUUCGGGAUCAAUAUAUUGGUCGUGCCUUUGGUAUGCACUGGUAUUAUUGAUUUCUACCUUCUGACGAACCAUGAUGUCAUUAAUUUGGUGUUAUGGGGAAUCAGGACUGUUACUUUGAAAAAUUAGAGUGUUUAAAGCAAGCACACGCUUGAAUACAUUAGCAUGGAAUAAUGAAAUAGGACGUUUGAUCUUAUUUUGUUGGUUUCUAGGAUCGACGUAAUGAUUAAUAGGGAUAGUUGGGGGCAUUAGUAUUCAAUUGUCAGAGGUGAAAUUCUUGGAUUUAUUGAAGACUAACUACUGCGAAAGCAUUUGCCAAGGAUGUUUUCAUUAAUCAAGAACGAAAGUUAGGGGAUCGAAGACGAUCAGAUACCGUCGUAGUCUUAACCAUAAACUAUGCCGACUAGGGAUCGGAUGAUGUUAAUUUUUAAUGACUCAUUC